UACGAAGGGGGCUAGCGUUGUUCGGAAUUACUGGGCGUAAAGCGCGCGCAGGCGGCCUUUCAAGUCAGGGGUGAAAUCCCAGAGCUCAACUCUGGAAUUGCCUCUGAGACUGUGAGGCUUCGAGUACGGGAGAGGUGAGUGGAAUUCCCAGUGUAGAGGUGAAAUUCGUAGAUAUUGGGAAGAACACCGGUGGCGAAGGCGGCUCACUGGCCCGUUACUGACGCUCAGGCGCGACAGCGUGGGGAGCGAACAGG
rnacentral:rRNA from 1 species